rnacentral:lncRNA from 1 species
CUCCAGCAUCCGCCUGGCACCUGACACCUCCCUGCUAGCCAGUCCCAGAGAGCUCUUUUCCUCCAGACUAGCUGGGGCUGGAACUGCUUAGAAUCGGACCCAGAAGAGGCCGAGUUCCGUCCAGGACUAAAGGCAGCCUCCAGGGAAUAAAGCUGUCAGUGUGGGCGCAGACUAGGGAAGGGGCACUAGGUCGUUCAAGCUGAAUGCUGGGGUUCCACAGCCUCCUCACACCCCCUUUAGUGCCUCAGGUAGAGUAGGCUUGUGGGGACACUGAGGUUUCCUCAGGUCCUUUCCCUGCUCAAUAACUCUCCAUGGCUCGCCACUACCCACUGCAUAAAGCCCUAACUCCUAUACCUGGCAUUUGGGAGCCUCUGUGAUUCCACUUCUUCAGUCUCUUCUCCUCCCUAAGCCCCCAUGCCCCAGCCACAGGGGCUACUUAGGUGCCCCUCCUGCUCCCCUUUCCCCUUGCACCCAAACCUUCUCUGCUCAUGUGCUAUUUCCUGGGGCCUUCUCUAGGGCUCAUUCCCUAGUUGGAGUUAAAUUCUGCUUCCAAGGAAUCAGCCACCCAAAUAACAAACCAGUCCACCUGAGAAUCUAGUCUGUGAUGCAGCGUCAAUAGCUUCUGAUGAAUUUGCUUCUGACCAGUAGCCUCCAGGGGUCAUAAAACAUUCACAGAGAGGAACACAGAGAAGAUGUGGGUCUUCAGGCUCAGAGAAGAGAAGGCAUUGUUUGCCCAUGAAUGUUUGCAAGUAAAUAGCAGAGCUGGGACUCAAAGAGUCCGGAUCUGGGGCUCCAUCAUGAAUCUCUAAGAGUGGCCCAGAGAUUCUCACGUUCCCUAGUCAUUCACCCACGUGCCUCAGCUGCAGAACCUGUCCUCAAGGUGCUCACAGGCUGAGGGAAGGCAGACAGAGGACAAGUGGCAACCUACAAAACACCAAAUGGGCUCCAUACUCAACCAAGGUGCCCCUCAGCCAGAACUGGACACAUUGCCAGAGAACUCCAGGGGUCAUCUGGUCGGCUCAGCCUCCCGGUUUCCGACAGACAGUAAGCCCACCAUGACUCCCUCCAUCGGGAAAGGGACCCUCAAGACUUUGAUCAGACCUUUGGACUGGGGGUCCUUCCCUUCACUGUGUCUCAAGUAAGGCACUGGUCUAGAGGAAAUAAGGUGAAGUCAGAUGAUAGCAAUACCACUACCAGUGCAGUGGCACAUGCCUGCACUCCCAGCUACUACGGAGGCUAAGGUGGGAGGAUCACUUGAGCCCAGGAGUUUGAGACCAGCAUUUAUUUAUUUACUAACAGACUAAAUAAAUAAACCAACAAUACCACCAACCAGUAAAUGAGAACUUCCAUGCUAAACACUUCAUGAGCUUAUCUGGAAAUUGCACCUCUCCUGAUAGCAAUGAGAUUGGUGUGGGAAUUCCAUUUACUCAUAAGAAGACAGCCUCGGCCGGGCUCAGUGGCUCACGCCUGUAAUCCCAG